GGGGGCGACCUGGCUUCGACGCGGGUUACAAAACCGGAGGUGCAUGCCGAGGAUGCAGAUAUCCUCGUAAAUCCAUCUGCAAAACCAUAGUUGCCAACGACAGCAACUUCGCACUCGCUGCUUAAAAACCAGUAGAGUGUCGUCGGACUGGAGCCGUGCCUGUGCGUUCAGAUUCCCGGCGUCAUCUCUCACAGGAUCGCGGUGACGCUCUCCCAGGGCGGAUCCGCUAAAAACCCACUGGGAUCGCUCACGGUUUCCCCCGCCCGUCGGGUGGCCAUGAGUUAAAUCAAUAGGCGCGGACAAGCAUGUAGAGCCAAGGGCGGAGAACUUGCGGACGGGGGUUCGAUUCCCCCCGCCUCCACCA
rnacentral:tmRNA from 5 species